GUUAUUAAGGAAUGGGGAAGGCUUUGUUUCCUUCCUGUCCCCACAUCUGAACAGAUUGCAACUCCAGACAGCACAGUGCCAAAGGAGCAGUGGUCUAUACAAUCAUCCUUAUCCAAAGACUUCAAGCUACAGCCCAAAAGAAAGUAACACAUGAAAAGAAGCAUCUCUGUCUAAGAUAUGGUGUUUCCCUUCAAAGGAAACUCAGCCUGGAAAUUUCUAACACACCUUUCAAGUACAGUGGUCUAACUUGCUAAGUCAAGAAACAUCCUAAGAUGCCAAAGAAGUUAGAAUAAAAGGUAAUGUUUGAGGAAGCAAUGACUGCACACAUCCAUCAGUCUUGUCUCUUCGUAUUUCUGCUGUUCUUGACAGCGCCAGAGGUCGUUUAGAAACCCUGUUGGAGUUCAUGAGCAAAUCGUAGAAUCGUGUUGUAACGUAUAAUCAAUUCUCUAGUUAUUUUCU